AACCUAGCACACCUGCGGUGUGUACCUGCGGAAGGAUCAUUACCGAGUUUACAACUCCCAAACCCCUGUGAACAUACCUAUACGUUGCCUCGGCGGAUCAGCCCGCGCCCUGUAAAACGGGACGGCCCGCCCGAGGACCCUAAACUCUGUUUUUAGUGGAACUUCUGAGUAAAACAAACAAAUAAAUCAAAACUUUCAGCAACGGAUCU
rnacentral:misc_RNA from 1 species